GAUGAAUAACGUAGCGAAAUGCGAUAAGUAAUGCGAAUUGCAGAAUUUCCGUGAGUCAUCGAAUCUUUGAACGCACAUUGCGCCCACUGGUAUUCCGGUGGGCAUGCCUGUUCGAGCGUCAUUAUCCUCCCUCAAACCUCGGGUUUGGUGUUGGACCCAAGUUGUGUGAACAACUGGUCUUAAAGACAAUGACGGCGUCCGUGGGACCCUCGGUGCAACGAGCUUUUAGGAGCACGCGUCGAGUUUCAAGGACCUUCCGGGCCGGUCUCCUUUACCAUUUUACAAGGUUGACCUCGGAUCAGGUAGGAAUACCCGCUGAACUUAAGCAUAUCAAUAAGCGGAGGA
rnacentral:misc_RNA from 1 species